CAGAGUUGCAAAACUCCCACAAACCAUCGCGAAUCUUACCCGUACGGUUGCCUCGGCGCUGGCGGUCCGGAAGGCCCUCGGGCCCCCCGGAUCCUCGGGUCUCCCGCUCGCGGGAGGCUGCCCGCCGGAGUGCCGAAACCAAACUUUUGAUAUUUUAUGUCUCUCUGAGUAAACUUUUAAAUAAGUCA
rnacentral:misc_RNA from 1 species